rnacentral:lncRNA from 10 species
GUUUUAUUUUAUUUUUCUUUUCUCCACUUUGUAAGGAGUUAACUUUUAUGAGAGGUUUUUUGUUUGUUUUUGUUUUUGUUUUCUUAUUAGGCCAGGACCCCCAUUCCCAAGAUAGCCUUUUCUCUUCCUUGUUUAAGGAAGACCCAGCUCCAAAGCUUUAGGUUAGCAUGACUCAUUGCUGCCGAUUAGGCUCCCUUCCAUCUCGUGGAUAGAGGUCAUUCUAGUAUCCAUGGCAUGCAUGAAAUCUAAAGAACUCAAAGGUUAUCAACAACAGUGGGACAAGCAGCGCAUGGGUAAUGGUGGAUAACUCGCACCCUGUAAGCCCCCUGUUAACAUAGGUGAAAGCUGCAUUGGCACCCAUGGGUGGUAACCUGCCAAGAUCACCAGGACUCAGGGAUAUAAGAACAGAAGAAAGAAAGAGGACACUUUUCUCCUCUCCCUCAUGUACCUCAGGUAUUUACUAGGAAAAAGAAGAAACUAGGGAUGCCUUGCUCCCCUCUUCUUAGGAAUCUUUCUUAUAAAUGACAAUGGAGGAUGGCUGACAAUGAAAUUCUUUAGAUUUUGUUCAGUGCUGAGACAACGUUGAGAUGAGCAAAUUACCUCUGGUGAAAAACUUAAUGAGGCACUCUCUCGGGUCACACAAGACACAAGUUUUGCACUCUCGAUCUCAAAUAUAUAACUCUGAAAGUGAGUAGCUCUUUAGGUUUUCGGACCUAGUUGUGUCAUUUACUUUACCCUAGUUCCAAACCUAUUUUUAAUUUUCUAAAAAUAAACGAACCCUAUUUUACUUUAGUGCUUAAAAUUUUCUACUUGUUAUAAAAAUGUAGAUAAAGCUGUUUUUUCUUAUUUAGUUAUUUAUGAUUGCUCCAUUGUCUCCAAGCUUUCAUAGUUUCUGAAGAAAGUUACCCAUAUUUGUGUGUGUGUGUGUGUGUGUGUGUAUUUCUUUUGAUGUGGAUUAUUUUUUCAUCUCUGAUGCCUUUUAAGAUUUUUCACUUUAUCACUGAUUUUCAGAAAUUAGACAAUAGUUUACCUUGCCAUUUUGUCUUUAUUUGUGAUUCUAAUAACAUUUUGGCAAUCAUUUCUUUGAAUUUUUGGUUUUGUUCUUCCCUACCACAUACUCACACACAUACAUCCACUCAGUGUUCUUCUGGGACUCCAUCUCUUCUUGUAUUAUGCUGCUUGAUAUUGUCCAACACAGUGUGGUUGUUUUUUCAAAUGUGUCUAUGUUUUCUGUUUUGGAUAGUUUAUAUUGUUAUAUUAUCAAAAUCACUGGUAUUUUUUCUACAAUGGUUAAAGUGCUGUUAAAUUUAUUCAUACAUUUUUAAUCUAAUAUACUUAUUUUUUCUGUUUUAGGAGUCUGCUUGUUUUUAUUUCUUCCAUUUUUAUUUUCUCACAAUAUACAUAUUUUCCCAUCUUAUUUGAAAAAAUAAAGCAUAUUUUUAACACCUG